rnacentral:lncRNA from 1 species
UCUAUUACACAGACUCUUUUCUAACAUACUAGGAAUUAUUAUCCAGAAUUAUUAUUGCCCUCUGUUUUCCCAUACCUUACUUUCAGUGCCACUUCCCUGCCCCCCACAGCAUCUGCGCCCCCCUUCACCACCCUAUCUGCCAGAACCCCCUUUGCUUUUCUAGAUCUCAGCCACAGACCUUGUGCUCCUGACUCAUGGGCUUCCCAGAGAGACCGCAGGUUGGCUGCCAACACCCUGAAGACAGCAAGGCUGCCCAGUCCCCCAACGCCUGCCAAGGACAGAUUCUACCUGCAACGUGGACCCAGAGAGUCAUUCUCGAACAAAGGAACCCCAGAGGCCUGAACUUACUCAGAAUUGACUUCUGCGUCCUUCUAUUAUUGGGACUGACAUUUGAAGUCCCCGGCCGGGUCUCCCUGUCAUUUGCCAUCGCCUUUGAAGUGCUUAACAGCCGAGAGGUUGAAGCCAUACAAUUUUGCUAUUUAGAGGAUUCAGCUUAAGGUAACGGUCAAGUUGCAUAAUUCAAGAUGAAAGGGUUUGGGGCUUCCCUGGCGGUACAGCAUUUAAGAAUCCACCUGCCAGUGAAGAGGAAAUGAUUUUGAUCCCUGGCCCGGGAAGAUUCCACCUACCACCCAGCAACUAAGCCAGUGCGGAACAACCACUGAUUCUGAUGCUGCAGCUACUGGAGCCUGCGUGCCUACAGUGUGGUCUGCAGCAAGAGAAGCCACCACAAGAGAAGCCCGUGCUCGGCAAUGAGGAGUACCCUCUGCUCACUGCAACUAGAGAGAGCCUGCCUGUAGCAGUGAAGACCCAGUGCAACCAAAAAGAAAUAAACAAGUUUUUAAAAAAGAAAAACCAAAGCCUUAUGUCAUGAGACUUUUUCUGUUUUCUUCACUCACCUCC